rnacentral:rRNA from 1 species
UACAGAGGUGGCAAGCGUUGUUCGGAUUUAUUGGGCGUAAAGGGUUCGUAGGCGGCCAACUAAGUCAGACGUGAAAUCCCUCGGCUUAACCGGGGAACUGCGUCUGAUACUGGAUGGCUUGAGAUUGGGAGAGGGAUGCGGAAUUCCAGGUGUAGCGGUGAAAUGCGUAGAUAUCUGGAGGAACACCGGUGGCGAAGGCGGCAUCCUGGACCAACACUGACGCUGAGUGAGCGAAAGCCAGGGGAGCAAACGGG